AGUGAACGCUGGCGGUAGGCCUAACACAUGCAAGUCGAACGGCAGCACAGAGGAGCUUGCUCCUUGGGUGGCGAGUGGCGGACGGGUGAGGAAUACAUCGGAAUCUACUCUGUCGUGAGGGAUAAGGUAGGGAAACUUACGCUAAUACCGCAUACGACCUACGGGUGAAAGAAGGGGAUCUUCGGACCUGGCGCGAUGGAAUGAGCCGAUGUCGGAUUAGCUAGUUGCCGGGGUAAAGGCCCACCAAGGCGACGAUCCGUAGCUGGUCUGAGAGGAUGAUCAGCCACACUGGAACUGAGACACGGUCCAGACUCCUACGGGAGGCAGCAGUGGGGAAUAUUGGACAAUGGGCGCAAGCCUGAUCCAGCCAUACCGCGUGGGUGAAGAAGGCCUUCGGGUUGUAAAGCCCUUUUGUUGGGAAAGAAAUCCAUUUGGUUAAUACCCGGAUGGGAUGACGGUACCCAAAGAAUAAGCACCGGCUAACUUCGUGCCAGCCGCCGCAGUAA
rnacentral:rRNA from 1 species